rnacentral:rRNA from 1 species
ACGCUAGCGACGUGCCUAAGGUAUGCAAGUCGAAUGCCGAUUUAUCGGCAUGGCAGACGGCUGAGUAACACAUGGGAAUCUACCUCAAACUCGAGAAUAGCCCAUCGAAAGGUGGUGUAAUACUCGAUAGUUCCGUUUACGGUAAAGCUCCGGCGGUUUGAGAUGAGCCCAUGUCCUAUCAGGUUGUUGGUGGGGUAAUUGCCUACCAAGCCUAUGACGGGUAGCUGGUUUGAGAGGAUGAUCAGCCAGACUGGGACUGCGAUACGGCCCAGACUCCUACGGGAGGCAGCAACUAGGAAUCAUGCGCAAUGGACGAAAGUCUGACGCUGCGACGUCGCGUGAGGGAUGAAGGUCUUAGGAUCGUAAACCUCUUUUAUCUGGGAACAAGUUCUGAGUGUACCAGAUGAAUAAGUGCCUGCCAACCACGUGCCAGAAGCAUCGGUAAUGCGUGGGGCACAAGCGUUAUCCGGAUUUACUGGGCGUAAAGAGAUGCGUAGGCGCCUUUUUAAGUCACUUGUAAAAUCUCCCCGCUCAACGGGGAAACUGCAAGUGAUACUGAAUUGGUUGAGUCAAGUAGAGGAGAGGGGAAUUCCUGGUGGAGCGGUUAAAUGCGUUGAUAUCAGGAGGAAUACCAAGUGCGAAGGCACCUCUCUGGACUUGUACUGACGCUAAGGCUCGAAAGUGUGGGGAGCAAAACGGAUUAGAUACCCGUGUAGUCCACACUGUAAACGAUCCCUGCUAGAUGUUUGC